AAAAAAAUCUGAUACCUAAACAGAAUUUCUGGACCAUGGUGUUUUAACUCUGUUGAAGAAUUGGCUUGAACCUCUUCCAGAUGGAAGCUUGCCAAAUAUAAACAUUCGUGCAGCUAUUCUAAGAGUUCUUACUGAUUUUCCAAUUGACUUGGAUCAGUUCGAUAGAAGGGAGCAAUUGAAAAAGAGUGCUAGGUCAUUAUGUUCUUAUCAAAGUCCAAAGAGGAAACUAAUUCCAACAGACGACUUGCUAAGGUUUUGGUUGAUAAAUAUGGUUUCGUCCGAUUUUCAAUAAGAGUACUAGGUUUGAGGACAUGAGAAAUCUCGAUGAAGAUAGGGUUAUCCAAUCACUGGAAGGAGAUGGUCUAAUAUAGUACUCGACAAUCGAUGAGUAUCAUUUCAAGCACGUCGAGCUCUGAUCUUAUCUAAAAGUCAUUUAGAGUUUGGUUACUCCGUAGAUAAAGAGUCAUUAGUAUUAUCUGGUGGUUUGAGAGAUGUUUUCAAUAUCUAGAACCUAGGAUCACUUUUAUAUAGCUCACUUCUGUUGUUUCAUAGGACAUGUGGUCACCAAUUCUCGCUUAGGGGUAUUAAUUUAACUCCCCUUCUGAUUACAAACUUGAUUGCUUUUUAGGUAGUGGAUUUGUGGGUUUAGAUAGUGCUUUCCAGUUAUGAUUACUUUUUUAACAGUGAUUUAUGCAUAUGUUGUAUGAGUUGUGAUGAUAAAGCUAAGUCGAAUGUAGCUGUACUCAUGUAUGUGCUUCUGCAAACUUCAUAUUCAAAGGUCUGGUCCGACCAUCCAACAAUGGUUGCAGAGCCUUCACGAGAAUACUCAUGUUUGGUCUGAAAUCAGUUUCGUAUUGUACACACAAAGCAGCAACUGCAGGUAACUGCAUUAUCAACAAAAAAUGAUCAAACACGAAACUGUUGGAUCAAGCAAGACUGGUUCUAUGUCCUAACCAUUAAUUCCAGCUAAUAUAGGCACUGCCUAUUCAAUUUAUCUUGUCUCAUAGUGAUACUUUAAGUUAGAAAAUCUCAAUUGUGUGCUCCAGGU